rnacentral:lncRNA from 1 species
UCUCUCUAAAAGCCGUCUUUUUUGACAAAGAUGUCUUCUCGUAAGGUUCGUUGUUGGUUGUUGUUGAAAGGUUAUUUCCUAAAGCGACGCUUUUUGGGGUGUUAUUAUAACACUUGAAAUCUUUCUGCAAGAAUCCUUGGAUUUUGGUUUUGGAAGAAGAGGAGGGCCUUUGUGGACUGAUUUAAGAGAAUGAAAAUUGAAUUAAAUCUGGGAACUGAGAUUAUGCUUUAUGCAGUAAAAGGUGCCUCACCAUCAAUAUUAUAACAUAAAAGGAAUAGUUCUUGGGGGACCAUCUAUAAAGAUUAAUAACCCAUGAAGAAUUAUUGAAUAGAAGAUUAAUUCAAAGUGUAUGAGAACUAAACCACAUGAAGUUCAAUCCACAUCCAAUUCAAACUGUAUCUGAUUAAU